GCUAGUUUAGUGCAUCCCGAUGCAAUCGGGAGGUUCGAGGGUUCGAAUCCCUCAACUCCCA
rfam:Algoriphagus sp. A40 NODE_6_length_244401_cov_9.47326_ID_11, whole genome shotgun sequence.